UGAGGAACAUGACCUUCGGCGGGGGAGUAGCCGGCCCAACGGCCGGGUAAUACCGCGUACGACCACAUGGGGACAUCCCUGAGUGGUGAAAGCAGCAAUGCGCCGAUGGAGUGCCUCGCGGCCUAUCAGCUAGUUGGUGAGGUAACGGCUCACCAAGGCGACGACGGGUAGCUGGUCUGAGAGGAUGGCCAGCCACAUUGGGACUGAGACACGGCCCAGACCUCUACCGGGGAGG
rnacentral:rRNA from 1 species